GUAAGAUGGCUGAAUUGAGGCGGUGGUUUGUAAUUCCACUUAUGGGGUGAUAUACUCCUCUUAUCA
rnacentral:tRNA from 1 species